UCGAACGGCAGCACAGGAGAGCUUGCUCUCUGGGUGGCGAGUGGCGGACGGGUGAGGAAUACAUCGGAAUCUACCUUUUCGUGGGGGAUAACGUAGGGAAACUUACGCUAAUACCGCAUACGACCUACGGGUGAAAGUGGGGGACCGCAAGGCCUCACGCGAUUAGAUGAGCCGAUGUCCGAUUAGCUAGUUGGCGGGGUAAUGGCCCACCAAGGCGACGAUCGGUAGCUGGUCUGAGAGGAUGAUCAGCCACACUGGAACUGAGACACGGUCCAGACUCCUACGGGAGGCAGCAGU
rnacentral:rRNA from 1 species